UUUAUGGAGAGUUUGAUCCUGGCUCAGGAUGAACGCUGGCGGCGUGCCUAAUACAUGCAAGUCGAGCGAACGGACGAGAAGCUUGCUUCUCUGAUGUUAGCGGCGGACGGGUGAGUAACACGUGGAUAACCUACCUAUAAGACUGGGAUAACUUCGGGAAACCGUAGCUAAUACCGGAUAAUAUUUUGAACCGCAUGGUUCAAAAGUGAAAGACGGUCUUGCUGUCACUUAUAGAUGGAUCCGCGCUGCAUUAGCUAGUUGGUAAGGUAACGGCUUACCAAGGCAACGAUGCAUAGCCGACCUGAGAGGGUGAUCGGCCACACUGGAACUGAGACACGGUCCAGACUCCUACGGGAGGCAGCAGUAGGGAAUCUUCCGCAAUGGGCGAAAGCCUGACGGAGCAACGCCGCGUGAGUGAUGAAGGUCUUCGGAUCGUAAAACUCUGUUAUUAGGGAAGAACAUAUGUGUAAGUAACUGUGCACAUCUUGACGGUACCUAAUCAGAAAGCCACGGCUAACUACGUGCCAGCAGCCGCGGUAAUACGUAGGUGGCAAGCGUUAUCCGGAAUUAUUGGGCGUAAAGCGCGCGUAGGCGGUUUUUUAAGUCUGAUGUGAAAGCCCACGGCUCAACCGUGGAGGGUCAUUGGAAACUGGAAAACUUGAGUGCAGAAGAGGAAAGUGGAAUUCCAUGUGUAGCGGUGAAAUGCGCAGAGAUAUGGAGGAACACCAGUGGCGAAGGCGACUUUCUGGUCUGUAACUGACGCUGAUGUGCGAAAGCGUGGGGAUCAAACAGGAUUAGAUACCCUGGUAGUCCACGCCGUAAACGAUGAGUGCUAAGUGUUAGGGGGUUUCCGCCCCUUAGUGCUGCAGCUAACGCAUUAAGCACUCCGCCUGGGGAGUACGACCGCAAGGUUGAAACUCAAAGGAAUUGACGGGGACCCGCACAAGCGGUGGAGCAUGUGGUUUAAUUCGAAGCAACGCGAAGAACCUUACCAAAUCUUGACAUCCUUUGACAACUCUAGAGAUAGAGCCUUCCCCUUCGGGGGACAAAGUGACAGGUGGUGCAUGGUUGUCGUCAGCUCGUGUCGUGAGAUGUUGGGUUAAGUCCCGCAACGAGCGCAACCCUUAAGCUUAGUUGCCAUCAUUAAGUUGGGCACUCUAAGUUGACUGCCGGUGACAAACCGGAGGAAGGUGGGGAUGACGUCAAAUCAUCAUGCCCCUUAUGAUUUGGGCUACACACGUGCUACAAUGGACAAUACAAAGGGCAGCGAAACCGCGAGGUCAAGCAAAUCCCAUAAAGUUGUUCUCAGUUCGGAUUGUAGUCUGCAACUCGACUACAUGAAGCUGGAAUCGCUAGUAAUCGUAGAUCAGCAUGCUACGGUGAAUACGUUCCCGGGUCUUGUACACACCGCCCGUCACACCACGAGAGUUUG
rnacentral:rRNA from 1 species